rnacentral:rRNA from 2 species
CACAUGCAAGUCGAGCGCGUCUGAUUUGAUGCUUGCAUUAAUGAAAGAUGAGCGGCGGACGGGUGAGUAACGCGUGGGUAACCUGCCCUAUACACAUGGAUAACAUACUGAAAAGUUUACUAAUACAUGAUAAUAUAUAUUUACGGCAUCGUAGAUAUAUCAAAGUGUUAGCGGUAUAGGAUGGACCCGCGUCUGAUUAGCUAGUUGGUGAGAUAACUGCCCACCAAGGCGACGAUCAGUAGCCGACCUGAGAGGGUGAUCGGCCACAUUGGAACUGAGACACGGUCCAAACUCCUACGGGAGGCAGCAGUGGGGAAUAUUGCACAAUGGGCGCAAGCCUGAUGCAGCAACGCCGCGUGAACGAUGAAGGUCUUCGGAUCGUAAAGUUCUGUUGCAGGGGAAGAUAAUGACGGUACCCUGUGAGGAAGCCCCGGCUAACUACGUGCCAGCAGCCGCGG